rnacentral:misc_RNA from 1 species
UCCGAGUUGACCCCGGCAGUCUCCCGUGAGUCCCCACCACCCCCGAAAGGGCGUGCUGGUAACAGAACAUGAGGGUUGCGCUCGUUGCGGGACUUAACCCAACAUUUCACAACACGAGCUGACGACAGCCAUGCACCACCUGUGACUCACCCUCGAAGGCGACCGCUUUUGGGCGGCUUGCAGAGUCAUGUCAAGCCCUGGUAAGGUUCUUCGCGUUGCAUCGAAUUAAUCCGCAUGCUCCGCCGCUUGUGCGGGCCCCCGUCAAUUCCUUUGAGUUUUAGCCUUGCGGCCGUACUCCCCAGGCGGGGCACUUAAUGCGUUAGCUACGGCGCGGAAAACGUGGAAUGUCCCCCACACCUAGUGCCCAACGUUUACGGCAUGGACUAC